GCGCAGCAGUCGCGAAACCUCCGCAAUGCGGGAAACCGCGACGGGGGACCCCGAGUGCCGUGGCAACGCCACGGCUUUUCCGGAGUGUAAAAAGCUCCGGGAAUAAGGGCUGGGCAAGGCCGGUGGCAGCCGCCGCGGUAAUACCGGCGGCCCGAGUGGUGGCCGCUAUUAUUGGGCCUAAAGCGUCCGUAGCCGGGCCCGUAAGUCCCUGGCGAAAUCCCACGGCUCAACCGUGGGGCUUGCUGGGGAUACUGCGGGUCUUGGGACCGGGAGAGGCGGGGGUACCCCUGGGGUAGGGGUGAAAUCCUAUAAUCCCCAGGGGGACCGCCAGUGGCGAAGGCGCCCCGCUGGAACGGUCCGACGGUGAGGGACGAAGGCCAGGGGAGCAAACCGGAUUAGAUACCCCCGUAGU
rnacentral:rRNA from 1 species